rnacentral:rRNA from 1 species
AUACGGAGGACGCGAGCGUUAUCCGGAUUCAUUGGGUUUAAAGGGUGCGCAGGCGGCCGUGCAAGUCAGCGGUGAAAGCCCGGGGCUCAACCCCGGAAGUGCCGUUGAUACUGCAUGGCUGGAAUGCGGUCGAGGCGGGCGGAACGUGGGGUGUAGCGGGGAAAUGCGUGGAUAUGCCACAGAACGCCGGUAGCGGAGGAGGCUCGCCAGGCCUGCAUGGACGCUCGGGCACGAAAGCGUGGGGAUCGAACAGGAUUAGAUCCCCUGGUAGUCCACGCCGUAAACGAUGGGCGCUCGUCGUCGGCGGCAGACAGUCGGCGGCCAAGCGAAAGCGAUAAGCGCCCCACCUGGGGAGUACGGUCGCAAGGCUGAAACUCAAAUGAAUUGACGGGG